GACGAACGCUGGCGGCGUGCUUAACACAUGCAAGUCGAGCGGUAAGGCCCUUUCGGGGGUACACGAGCGGCGAACGGGUGAGUAACACGUGGGUGACCUGCCCUCAGCUCUGGGAUAAGCCUGGGAAACCGGGUCUAAUACUGGAUAUGACUCCAUGACGCAUGUUGUGGGGUGGAAAGCCUUGUGCGGCUGAGGAUGGGCCCGCGGCCUAUCAGCUUGUUGGUGGGGUGANGGCCUACCAAGGCGACGACGGGUAGCCGGCCUGAGAGGGCGACCGGCCACACUGGGACUGAGACACGGCCCAGACUCCUACGGGAGGCAGCAGUGGGGAAUCUUGCGCAAUGGGCGAAAGCCUGACGCAGCGACGCCGCGUUGGGGAAGAA
rnacentral:rRNA from 1 species